AGGAUGGUGAGCUUUUCUGGUGCUUCUGACACAGCUGUCGGGGGACUCAGCAAACAGUCUGCAGUUUCUGGAGCUGCUCUGAGUCCUGUCAGGUUUCCAUCUGAGCAAUUUCCUCUUCCAGGCAUCCCAAUGCCUGUGGAUGGCCCAUCUGGGUGGCCAGCCCUGCUCUCCCUGCUUCUGGCCGUGGCGAUGCCUUUUUUCUGCUCAGCCAUAUCCAUAGAUGAAGCAUGGAACCAGCUGUUGAUGAGAGAGAAGAUGAUGCAGCUGGGGGGGCAGCUGGUGCUGACCGAACAGGAGGAGCUAGCCAAUGAGAGGCUCAUGGCCCUCAAAAAGGCUGAGGUGACACAGGCGAUGAGGACCCAGAAGUUCCCUCCCAGCAUGCACUUUUUCCGGGCCAAGACUCUCAUUGAGAAAAGUGAGGUGUUUAAUAUCCUGAAGAAGAUGCCAAAAGGGGCUGCCUUACACGUCCAUGACUUCAGCAUCCUGAGUAUGAACUGGCUGGUGAAAAAUGUCACGUACAGGCCCCACUGCCAUUUCUGUGUCACCCCAAGCGGGUACUUGAAGUUCAAAUUUGCUUAUCCAGCGCCCCCCACUCCUAAACCAGCAGAGUGUUCGGAGUGGGUUUUGCUGGAGAAAUAUCGAAAGGAGCUACAGAAUGUCACUGAGUUUGACAACAGACUUCUUCAGACUUUCACUCUGAUGACCGAGAACCCUGAGGUGGCUUAUGCAAACCAAGAUGCUGUCUGGUCCAAGUUUAAUAGUAUCUUCUUCACAAUCUCUGGCCUUGUCCACUAUGCACCAGUGUUCAGAGACUAUGUCUUCCAGGCACUGGAGGAGUUCUACCAGGACAAUGUGCUCUACCUGGAGCUCAGAGCCAUGCUGUUCCCGGUGUAUGAACUGAACGGGACUGUCCAUAGCCAAGAGUGGUCAGUGAAGACUUACAGAGAAGUGGCUUGUAUGUUUGCAGAAAAGCAUCCUGGGUUUAUUGGAAUCAAAAUCAUUUAUUCGGAUCACAGAGUCAAAAAUGUGUCCUUCAUCAUGAAAUCCAUCCAAACAGCCAUGACGCUCCGAACCAUGUUCCCCAGGAUGGUGGCAGGGUUUGACCUGGUGGGGCAUGAGGACACUGGCCAUUCCUUGUAUGACUACAGGGAGGCUUUGAUGAUUCCCACCUUGCAUGGCGUUAAACUGCCUUACUUUUUCCAUGCUGGAGAGACAGACUGGCAGGGUACUUCCAUAGAUAGAAACCUUCUGGUUGCUCUAAUACUGAACUCUACCAGGAUUGGCCAUGGAUUUGCUUUGACCAAACACCCAGCAGUCUGGGCUGACUCCUGGAAGAAGGACAUCCCCAUAGAAGUCUGUCCCAUCUCCAACCAGGUUCUGAAACUGGUGUCUGACUUGAGAAACCAUCCUGCUGCUGUUCUGAUGGCCACUGGGUACCCCAUGGUGAUCAGUUCUGAUGACCCGGCAGUCUUUGGUGCCAAAGGCUUGUCCUAUGAUUUCUAUGAGGCCUUCAUGGGUAUUGGGGGAAUGGCAGCUGAUCUGAGGACACUCAAACAACUGGCCAUGAACUCUAUCAGAUUCAGCACCUUGAUGGAUAUUGAUAAAAAAGCUGCCAUGAAAACCUGGGAGGAGAGAUGGAAUAAGUUUGUAGCUGACCUGGCCGGGAGGCCAAAGUGAGAAGACAGUCACUUAUUACCCUAUUCCUCUGCUUCCCUCUGUAAGCUGUUUUCACCUUCUGUCAAUCAUUCUUGAACCCACACUAGUAUAGUUUCUACCUCCAUUCCUUUAUCAAAAUUGACAUCAUGAAGGUCAUCAAUGGCCUCGACACUGAUUAUCCUCUCAGGAACACUUAAACAUUUACCAGACUCAUCGUUUUGAAAUAUUCUUUUCUCUCAACCCCAGUGACAUCAAUGCUCUUGGUUUCCUCCUUUCUCUCUGGCCAUUGCUUCUAGGGUCCCUUUGCCAGUUGCUCUUCUCUAUCAGAUUUCUGUGUUGGAUUUCCUCAGGACUUAGUUUUGCCUCUCUUCUAUUCAUGUCUCUGCUUCUUCUCCUCUUCAUUUUCUCUUACUCUAUAGUGUUUUCCUGGUAGUCUCAUUCACUCCUUUGCUUUUAAAUGCUAUUUAUUUGCCGAUGAUCCCCAAAUUUAUUUAUUUACUUGGAUCCUUCACAAGAAUCUCAGAAACCUACUAUGUGCAAUUCUCAUCUCUCCCUUUUAACCUUUUCCUGGUCUUUCCCAUCUUGGCAAAUGUCACCUCCAUCCAUUCUAUCCAGGUGUUGAGAGCAGAAAUUUUCAGUGAAAUUGUUGAUACUGCUCUCUCCCCUGUUCCCUGCAUAAAAAUGUAUCUUGAAUCCUCCAUGCCUCUCUACCUGUGUUGCUAUUGGCUGAGUUCAAACCACUAUCACUUCUUGUCUGAGUUAUAAUGGUCUCUUAAUUGAGCUCUCUUUCUUCUCUUUGACUUCAUUUCAUUUUUCACAGAGCAAUGGCUUUUUAAAAAUUAAAUUAAAUCAGGUUACACUGCUUACAACUCAGUGCUCUUAGAAAAAUCCAAAUGUUUCAACAGGGCAUGUGGCAUCCUGUUUAACCUGGAUUCCUACCCCAGUAGAAUCAUCUUACCCCAGUCUCCCCCAGUGUACCAGACGUUGGCCUCACUGGUCCUUUGUUCCUCAAAUAUCCCAAACCCUAUGCUGCAUCAGAGUCUUUUCUCAUUCUUUCUGACUGGGAUAUUCUUUCUUUCCACUUUUGUCUGAUUCCUGUUCACCCUUAAGAUUUCACAUUUCAUGUCAUUGUCUCAGAAAUGUUUCCUAGACCCCUAACCUAUUAAUAUCUCUCAUGGCACCUUGCUUUUUUCCUUCAUGACUCUUAGCAUAAUUUGUAAUUAUAUAUUUAUUUCUGUGUUGAUAGUCUCCCUCCCACCAGACUGUAAGCUCCAUGUGAGCAGGAGCUAAUGAUUGUUUCAUAUACAUUGUGAACACAGAGCCUAGCUCCAUGCCCCAAACCUAGUUAGUAUUCAAUAAAAGAUGUGUUGAAUGAAUGGA